GAUGAACGCUGGCGGCGUGCCUAAUACAUGCAAGUCGAGCGAACAGACGAGGAGCUUGCUCCUCUGACGUUAGCGGCGGACGGGUGAGUAACACGUGGAUAAUCUACCUAUAAGACUGGGAUAACUUCGGGAAACCGGAGCUAAUACCGGAUAAUAUAUUGAACCGCAUGGUUCAAUAGUGAAAGACGGUUUUGCUGUCACUUAUAGAUGGAUCCGCGCCGCAUUAGCUAGUUGGUAAGGUAACGGCUUACCAAGGCAACGAUGCGUAGCCGACCUGAGAGGGGGAUGCGCCCCUGUGGAACUGAGACGCGGCCCAGACUCCUACGGGAGGCAGCAGUAGGUAAUCUUCCGAAAUGGGCGAAAGCCUGCCGGAGCCGCGGCGCGUGAGUGAUGAAGGUCUGCGGAUCGUAAAACUCUGUUAUUAGGGAAGAACAAAUGUGUAAGUAACUAUGCACGUCUUGCCGGAACCUAAUAAGAAGGCCACGCCUACCUCCGU
rnacentral:rRNA from 1 species